rnacentral:rRNA from 1 species
GGUAUCUAACCAGAAAGCCACGGCUAACUACGUGCCAGCAGCCGCGGUAAUACGUAGGUGGCAAGGGUUGUCCGGAUUUAUUGGGCGUAAAGCGAGCGCAGGCGGUUCCUUAAGUGUGAUGUGAAAGCCCCCGGCUCAACCGGGGAGGGUCAUUGGAAACUGGGGAACUUGAGUGCAGAAGAGGAGAGUGGAAUUCCAUGUGUAGCGGUGAAAUGCGUAGGUAUAUGGAGGAACACCAGUGGCGAAGGCGACUCUAUGGUCUGUAACUGACGCUGAGGCUCGAAAGCGUGGGUAGCAAACAGG